rnacentral:lncRNA from 1 species
CCUUUCUCCCCGCCGCAUUCCCGGUGUCGACUUACUAGCUGCAAGCCUCUGCCUGCCUUCCUGCGCGCCGUUCCCCGCUAGUCGCUGCUGCUGGCGCGCACUCGCCGGGUUUUUCCUCCCACGGCCUCGAGAUGGUGGUGAAUGUGGCACGGAGGAGCCGGGCCUUCCAACCCGGUGGGCCCGAGCUCCGAAAGGCCCCCUCGGCAGUGAGAGGGGCGGGAGCCCGCGGGGGCCGCGCCCUUCUCUCGCUUCGGACUGCGCAACGCUGCGCUCUGGGCUGACAGAUGAAGACUCUUAAGAUGACAGAAGGUGAUUUUUCUGGUGAUCGAGGACUUCCGGGGUAAUGACAGUGAUGAAAUGCAGGGGACCUGGUAGGUUUCUUUUGGAGACUAACUGGGGGCUGCCUGGUGGGACAGAACAGCAUGUUUCCAAGGGCUGUGGCUGGUCAUAGCCAUGGGAUCUCCAACUGCAUGCAAGAGCAACCUGGAAAGACUUUGACAGCGCAGGUUGCCCCCAAGUUUCCUGGCAGUGUGUGAUACUGAGGAGGUGAGCUUGUUUCUGGAGCUGUGCUUUAAGAUUCAUGUUACAUGUAAAGCUGUCCUCAUUUGUGACUAUGGACCUAUGGAGUUGGGACAAUCUCUAUGGGAAGCAGAAGGCAAGGACCCCGGUCAUUUUAGGUAGAAACAACAGCAUGCUAAUGCAAAAAAUUAUGCAGUGUGCUACUGAACUUCAGAGGUGAUCAAUAAAAGAAGAAUAAAAAGACUAAUAAAAGUA